UACGAAGGGGGCUAGCGUUGCUCGGAAUCACUGGGCGUAAAGCGCACGUAGGCGGCUUUCUAAGUCAGGGGUGAAAUCCUGGAGCUCAACUCCAGAACUGCCUUUGAUACUGGAGAGCUUGAGUCCGGGAGAGGUGAGUGGAACUCCGAGUGUAGAGGUGAAAUUCGUAGAUAUUCGGAAGAACACCAGUGGCGAAGGCGGCUCACUGGCCCGGUGCUGACGCUGAUGUGCGAAAGCGUGGGGAGCAAACAGG
rnacentral:rRNA from 1 species